AGAAAUAUCUUAAGUUAAGCUUCUAACUUAACAAAAAGCAUUAGUGUUUAUAUUUCUA
rnacentral:tRNA from 1 species